rnacentral:lncRNA from 1 species
CUUCUGUUGACACCAAGUCUGCCUACUCUGCUACUAUUUGUCAGCACUAUCACCUUCUAGGACUUCAACAUCAAGACUGCCUCCUCUGCUACUAUCAAAGUUCAGCUCCAAUCUCAAGUGGGCUACCAACACCAAACUUCAUCAGUAAAAUUUUAUUGAGGUGUGAGUUUGCUCAAGCUUCAAGACAGUAGGCUACCAACACCAAUCUCCAUCAGCCAAAUUUUAUUGAGGUGUGAGUUUGCUUCAGCUUCAAGACAGUAGGCUACCAACACCAAACUUCAUCAACCAAAUUUUAUUGAGGUGUGAGUUUGCUCGAGCUUCAAGACAGUAGGCUACCAACACCAAACUUCAUCAGCCAAAUUUUAUUGAGGUGUGAGUUUGCUUCAGCUUCAAGACAGUAGGCUACCAACACCAAUCUUCAACAACAAAAUUUUAUUGAAAUGAUUUCAAUACUUUCUCUAUUUCAACUUAUACACAUUCAAGGAGUGAACAGCAUUGAUCUAUGGGAGAAGUUUAUUCUAUACCUUGAAAAAGAAGUUAAAAAUAAGAAAAAACUAUCAAAUAUUUUUUAUGAUAUAGAGAAACUGUUCAAAUGCAUGAAAUGUGGAUAUCAGGAUUCAUCUUCAAGUCAGAAAAGUCUUUUGAAUAUAUUGACUAUUGAAUUAGCAUUAGAUCGUUUUGAAGAAUUUAUUUCAACAGGGCUUUCAAUUAAAAAAUACAAAUUGAAACUUAAUGAUGAAAGAUACUCUCAAGAAUUGUGUGAUUCAAUUGUGAAAAUAGCUGAAAAUUUCAUAUCAUCAAAUAACUGUAGUACAAUAAAUGAAUCAGAUAGUUUUAGUGAUGAUGAUGAUGAUGAUGAUGUAGAGAUGAGUGGGGAUGAUUCGGAUUUUGAAUCAAUUUUUAAUAAAAUUGAGGGUAAAAAGUUUAAUAAUCAAACAUUAACACAGUCAUUCAUGAUUAGGGACCAGACAAAGCAGGAAAUACUCACAUGUGAGAGUGAAAAUAUUUCAAAGGGCAGAAUCUUGGUGAAAGUUGAAAUAACAGAUGUUAAUGAUUUAAAAAAUAUUGAUGAGAGUUCUAGGUGGAGAAAAAUCAACAAGAAGGUUAUAUUUAUUGCAAAGAACAAGAAUGAUGAAAAAUUUAUAAAAAUGAAUGAUGGAUUGAAAAUAUUUUUGAAAGAGUUAUCUAAAAAAUCUAAUGUUGUAAAAGAAUCACGCAAAAUUAAUGCAUUCAAUAGCAAUAUGCAAAAUUGAUUUGUUCUGUAUCCAUCAGAUAGGAAAAACGUAUUCAAACAUAAUAUUAUUACAUCACUUUUCUUCAUUUUUUUUUUUUAGAUAACAAAUGAGAAGCAAUGAGCAGCAAUAUUCAUUUAUUCAAGGGGGGCAGAAGAAAAAAAGAUAGAAUAAAAGUUACCACUGGUCAGUUCACAGAAUUGGAGAGUGCAUUCAAUAAUGCAUUAAAGACUUAUUAUUACAAAAAUUCAAUUUCAAAGGAAUCUCUUUCCCCACACCAAUCAAAGAUAUAAAAGUUUUUGAAAAGAACAACAAGUCCAUAUCAAUAAACGUUUAUUUUCUAGAUGAAAAUAUGUGAUUAUGAGAAGAGAAAGCAUUUUGAUUUAUUAUUAUUGCAAGAGGAUGGGAAAUAUCAUUAUUGUUUAAUUAAAAAUUUAUCAAGACGCAUUAGAAGUCAAUUGACAAAACAUGAAAAUAAAAUAACAAUUUGUAAAAGAUGUUUCUCAUACUUUGAUGUGAGAGUGAAGAAAAAUUUCAAAACCCACCAAAGAUUAUGUUCGAAGAAAAAAAUAACAAAAGUUAUAAUGCCUAAGAAAAAUAUUUGCGAAUAUCGACCCAAUACUUAAAUUUAAGAAUUAUCAGAAUAAGUUUAGAGUUCCAAUAGUACUAUAUGCUGAUUUUGAAUGUUUAUUAGUUCCAUAUUUAUCUUGUACCCCAUCAAGCUCAAAAAGUUUCAGUAAUAAAACUCAUAGUCAUCAACCAUAUAGUUUUUGUAUCUAUCUAGUUAUUGAUGAAGAGAUUCCUGAAAAGAUAAAAUCGAAACUUCCUAGUGAACCUUACCUAUAUAGAGGAGAAAAUGUUGCUAAUAAUUUUAUGCAAUAUAUUACUAAUUUGACAAAUACAAUUGGAAAACUGUUAAAAGAAAAUAUUAAUAUGACUUUCACUAAAAAAGACUUGCUGAAUUUUAGAAAACAAAAAUGUUGUGAAAUGUGUGAUGGUCAGUUUACAAUGAUGAAUGAAGCAGUACGUGAUCACUGUCAUAUUACAGGAAAAUAUAGAGCAGCUUUAUGCAACAAUAGGUGUAAUUUGCUUAGACAAAAUCAAAAAUAUAUCCCAGUAUAUUUGCACAAUGGAGCAAAUUAUGAUAAUCAUAUAAUAAUAUGUGAAUUAGGGAUAGAUGAGCAUACCAUUAAUAUUAUCCCCAAUUCGAGUGAGAAAUACAUUUCUUUCACAAAACAUACAUCAAGUAAACUAUCAAUAAGAUUUAUUGA